rnacentral:rRNA from 1 species
GAUGAACGCUGGCGGCGUGCUUAACACAUGCAAGUCGAACGGAAAGGCCCAAGCUUGCUUGGGUUCUCGAGUGGCGAACGGGUGAGUAACACGUGGGUGAUCUGCCCUGCACUUCGGGAUAAGCCUGGGAAACUGGGUCUAAUACCGGAUAGGACCACUUCUUGGAUGUUGUGGUGGAAAGUUUUUCGGUGUGGGAUGAGCUCGUGGCCUAUCAGCGUGUUGGUGGGGUAAUGGCUUACCAAGGCGUCGACGGGUAGCCGGCCUGAGAGGGUGUACGGCCAGAUUGGGACUGAGAUACGGCCCAGACUCCUACGGGAGGCAGCAGUGGGGAAUAGUGCGCAAUGGGCGCAAGCCGGAUGCAGCGACGCCGCGUGGGGGAUGACGGCCUUCGGGUUGUGAACUCCUUUCGCUAGGGACGAAGCUUAUUUUGUGACGGUACCUGGAGAAGAAGCACCGGCUAACUACGUG